ensembl:lncRNA
GCCCGCCUGGGCUAAGGCAGAGGUUUUCGUGAGCCCACCGAUCACCGGAGCCACUAGCCACUCACCCAGCGUGGGGAAUAGUAUGAGACCGUGUCUAAAAUAAAAAACUAUUUGUGUUAGAAUAAAAUUCAAGCCAGCUUCAGCCACCAAAUUGUGGUCUUCAGCAAGUCUCUUCACUUCCAUAAAUCUCAGUUUCCUCAUCUGUAGUGUGGAUUGCUUUGAAAAUUGAGUGAAAAUAUGAGUGUCUGUUUUCUUUUUGCAUCAGAUGUUCAUCCACUUUCCCCUCCCUUUCUUAUGCUGGUUCAGGAUAUUGGGUUCCAUGAUGCAAUCCCAAAGUACAGAGGAAGAAGUGAGCCAGAGUCUUCAUCACAGGCCCAUUCCUGGGCACAAAGCAAUUCUGAUAGAAUCUUCUAGGGGAGGAGCAAAGAAGUGAGGCCACGAGCAGGCAGGUGGAGCAGCAACCCCAAGGCCUUCCCUGACGCUGCAGCCCACCGGGACCCCAGCCAGCCAAUUCCGGUGGGCUCUGUUCAAGGUUCUCCACCGUCCUCCAGAUCUGGGUUGUAGUAGUAAUUACGGUGACCUUCAUUUUCAAAGCCUGAUCUCCAAGGCCCUGGAGGUCAUGGUGAGACUCUUUCAUCUGGAAGUCAAGUCAAGGGGUUUAUUGCCUGGGGCCAAGAGCAGCUUAAACCAUCUCUUACAGUGGAGAUCAAGAGAGUCCUUCCAUCCAUCUGCUGGGCCUGCUGGGCCUCAGGGCUUUCUCCGAAGUGGUAGGAGGAAGAUGUCACAGAAAAUGUAAAGAAAAGUCUACCUCGGCAGUCUACAGGGUGGUGGAUAAAAGAAGAGCAGGAACAGUCUGGCGUGGCAAUCAGCCUGAUGUAGGUGCUGAGUGUUCUUCACAAAGCCCCAGCAUGAAAGGGGUGGCUGAGAGCAGGCUCCAAGUCCAUGGUGCUAGAGCGAGGCCAGACUGAGGCAGGGCUGGAAGUGGUUGCAUGGAUGGCACUACAGGUUCUUAGAGGGGUCUAAUCUGGGUCCGUUGGGGGCUAUGCCACACAAGAGUGGUUCCUGUGCCCACAGGUCCCACCAUGAACCUCCCAGCCCCAGGCCUGAGCUCAUAAGCAAGCAGGGAGUCCAGAAGCCAAGCAGCCAAGGGCAUCCCUGACACCCAAAGCAAUGCUACCACAUGCAAGGACAGCCAGGCAGAUCCAAGCUGGGGGCUGGACAGUGCCCACGGAGCCAUUUAAAGUUUUGUGUAUGUUUUUUUCCCUCGUUUUUAAUUUCGUUUGAUUCUUAUGUACAAUAAAGUAUUGUGUAUGUCUAAAGUACACAGUACUUUAAAUCACACGGGCCAUUUAAUUGGGUUCUGUUGGUUUGUUUGCUUUGCUUUCCUGCUAGUAAUAGAAAGUAAUUGAGGAAGGCAAGAAAGGAUAUAAACAAAAUAAGAAACGACACUUUCUUUGCACAUCCAAAUUGUGGCAAGGAUUAUUGCAGGUAAGUUCCAGGUGGACAGGAAGUACAUUCACACACACAUGUGCACACAUCCAUCUGCUGGGAGCCUCUGAUUUGUGUAGUUGAGGUACAGAACUUAAGAGAAGUGAGAGUUGAAGUAGGGCAAGAGAACAUUCACAAAUGUCCAACUAGCUCCUGGUUCUUUUUCUUUUUUUUAACAGAUGGUAUAGCCCACAAGACCCUAAGAUACUUAUUAUCCGGCAUUUAACAGAAAAUGUGCCUACCAAUUUCAGAAAUAAUACAUCAUCAUUAUCAACUUUAUAUGCAGAAAUGUUCAUAAUCAUAUCUUAACAGUUUUGAAUAAAUGGUCCUAAACAUAGUGACUUGCUCUUUCAUUCUACAGACCAGCCCAAGAUAUACAAGAUAUUCAAAAAGACUCAAUGUAUAUAACUGUCCCUGCAUGUACAAAAAAUAAAGGAUUUUUAACAUAUUCACGAUCAAGCAUGACCUCGAGGAAGGGGGCUGGGAGGUUAACACUUGCAACAACAUGAGCAUUCUCCAAACUCACAGAAAACAAAUUUACCUCAGUAAAUAGUCUACAUGUACUACAGGCUCUGGAAAAAUCUGCUCUAAAAAUUCUUCACCUUCAUCUCCUUUUGAUUUCAAAUAUUCACAAAGAGCACACCCAUGCACAGCAAUUUCAGGAGGUAAUGUUUCCACUGGAAUCCAUUCCUCCACUCACAAGAAAGAGCGUAAGAGAGGCUGGGCGCGGUGGCUCACGCCUGUAAUCCCAGCACUUUGGGAGGCUGAGGCGGGCAGAUCACGAGGUCAGGAGAUCGAGAUCAUCCUGGCUAACACUGUGAAACCCCGUCUCUACCAAAAAUACAAAAAAUGAGCCCGGCGUGGUGGCGGGCGCCUGUAGUCCCAGCUACUCGGGAGGCUGAGGCAGGAGAAUGGUGUGAACCUGGGAGGCGGAGCUUACAGUGAGCUGAGAUCGCGCCACUGCACUCCAGCCUGGGCGACAGAGCGAGACUCCGUCUCAAAAAAAAAAAAAAAAAAAAACCAUUUCGGAUGCAGGGCUUUAGAGAACACCCUGGACAAUCUCAAGACAACUUGUUGUAGUUGGACUUUUUCCCCCUUGGUGGAACAAAUGUUUUGGAUCCUAACCCCAAAUGGUACAACCCUUCUG